CAGUAGCCGCGGUAAAACGUAGGGUGCGAGCGUUGUCCGGAAUUACUGGGCGUAAAGGGCUCGUAGGUGGUUUGUCGCGUCGUCUGUGAAAUUCCGGGGCUUAACUCCGGGCGUGCAGGCGAUACGGGCAUAACUUGAGUACUGUAGGGGUAACUGGAAUUCCUGGUGUAGCGGUGAAAUGCGCAGAUAUCAGGAGGAACACCGAUGGCGAAGGCAGGUUACUGGGCAGUUACUGACGCUGAGGAGCGAAAGCAUGGGCAGCGAACAGGAUUAGAUACCCCUGUAGUCCCUGUCUCUUAUA
rnacentral:rRNA from 1 species